GGGGAAUUUUGGACAAUGGGCGAAAGCCUGAUCCAGCAAUGCCGCGUGCAGGAUGAAGGCCUUCGGGUUGUAAACUGCUUUUGUACGGAACGAAAAAGCUCCUUCUAAUACAGGGGGCCCAUGACGGUACCGUAAGAAUAAGCACCGGCUAACUACGUGCCAGCAGCCGCGGUAAUACGUAGGGUGCGAGCGUUAAUCGGAAUUACUGGGCGUAAAGCGUGCGCAGGCGGUUUUUUAAGUCAGAUGUGAAAGGUACCGGCUCAACCGGUAACAUGCAUUUGAAACUGAAAGACUUGAGUAUUGGAGAGGCAAGUGGAAUUCCUAGUGUAGCGGUGAAAUGCGUAGAUAUUAGGAGGAACACCGGUGGCGAAGGCGGCUUGCUGGACAAAUACUGACGCUGAGGUGCGAAAGCGUGGGGAGCAAACA
rnacentral:rRNA from 1 species